UCGAACCAUACCACUCUACAUUCUCUCCUCGUAAACGCUCGGUUCGCUCCUGCAAAGCUUCGCCGGAGAUCUUUUCUUCUCGCCGGAACUUCUAGCGACGGCCACCCGCAAUUCUUCUGAUUUCGGUCGCAACCCAUAAGAAACCUCGGUAGCACUUUGGAAUUUUCUCCCAUCCUAUUUUUGUAGCUUGUUGAUUUCGCUUACACCCUAAGGUGGUAACAAUUGAUGAUGAUUUACAAGCUUUCUAUCACUUAGGAUCAUGGAACUUUUUGCCUUAGUUAAACUUUAAAACGAUCAUUAUGUCUUGUUUUGGACAAGUUGUUUGUUUGAUUUGGUUGUUGAACAUAAAUUUGACUUAA